UACGUAGGGGGCAAGCGUUGUCCGGAUUUACUGGGCGUAAAGAGCGCGCAGGCGGUCGUUCAAGUCGCGUGUGAAAGCCCCCCGGCUCAACUGGGGAGGGUCACGCGAUACUGAUCGACUCGAAGGCAGGAGAGGGAAGUGGAAUUCCCGGUGUAGUGGUGAAAUGCGUAGAUAUCGGGAGGAACACCAGUGGCGAAGGCGACUUCCUGGCCUGUUCUUGACGCUGAGGCGCGAAAGCUAGGGAGCAAACGGG
rnacentral:rRNA from 1 species